rnacentral:tRNA from 1 species
UUCCCUGUGGCUCAGUUGGUAGAGCAUGGUGUUUGCAACGCCAGCAUGGUGUGUGCAACGCCAGGUUUGUGGGUUCGAUUCCCACGGGGGACC